GAUGAACGCUGGCGGCGUGCCUAAUACAUGCAAGUCGAGCGAACAGACGAGGAGCUUGCUCCUCUGACGUUAGCGGCGGACGGGUGAGUAACACGUGGAUAACCUACCUAUAAGACUGGGAUAACUUCGGGAAACCGGAGCUAAUACCGGAUAAUAUAUUGAACCGCAUGGUUCAAUAGUGAAAGACGGUUUUGCUGUCACUUAUAGAUGGAUCCGCGCCGCAUUAGCUAGUUGGUAAGGUAACGGCUUACCAAGGCAACGAUGCGUAGCCGACCUGAGAGGGUGAUCGGCCACACUGGAACUGAGCCACGGUCCAGACUCCUACGAGAGGCAGCAGUAGGGAAUCUUACGCAAUGGGCGAAAGCCUGACGGAGCAACGCCGCGUGAGUGAUGAAGGUCUUCGGAUCGUAAAACUCUGUUAUUAGGGAAGAACAAAUGUGUAAGUAACUAUGCACGUCUUGACGGUACCUAAUCAGAAAGCCACGGCUAACUACGUG
rnacentral:rRNA from 1 species